UUCGGGGUACUCGAGUGGCGAACGGGUGAGUAACACGUGGGUGAUCUGCCCUGCACUUUGGGAUAAGCCUGGGAAACUGGGUCUAAUAGCGAAUAGGACCACGCGCUUCAUGGUGUGUGGUGGAAAGCUUUUGCGGUGUGGGAUGGGCCCGCGGCCUAUCAGCUUGUUGGUGGGGUAAUGGCCUACCAAGGCGACGACGGGUAGCCGGCCUGAGAGGGUGACCGGCCACACUGGGACUGAGAUACGGCCCAGACUCCUACGGGAGGCAGCAGUGGGGAAUAUUGCACAAUGGGCGCAAGCCUGAUGCAGCGACGCCGCGUGAGGGAUGACGGCCUUCGGGGUUGUAAACCUCUUUCAAUAGGGACGAAGCGNGAGUGACGGUACCUAUAGAAGAAGCACCGGCCAACUACGUGCCAGCAGCCGCGGUAAUACGUAGGGUGCGAGCGUUGUCCGGAAUUACUGGGCGUAAAGAGCUCGUAGGUGGUUUGUCGCGUUGUUCGUGAAAACUCACAGCUUAACUGUGGGCGUGCGGGCGAUACGGGCAGACUAGAGUACUGCAGGGGAGACUGGAAUUCCUGGUGUAGCGGUGGAAUGCGCAGAUAUCAGGAGGAACACCGGUGGCGAAGGCGGGUCUCUGGGCAGUAACUGACGCUGAGGAGCGAAAGCGUGGGGAGCGAACAGGAUUAGAUACCCUGGUAGUCCACGCCGUAAACGGUGGGUACUAGGUGUGGGUUCCUUCCUUGGGAUCCGUGCCGUAGCUAACGCAUUAAGUACCCCGCCUGGGGAGUACGGCCGCAAGGCUAAAACUCAAAGGAAUUGACGGGGGCCCGCACAAGCGGCGGAGCAUGUGGAUUAAUUCGAUGCAACGCGAAGAACCUUACCUGGGUUUGACAUGCACAGGACGCCGGCAGAGAUGUCGGUUCCCUUGUGGCCUGUGUGCAGGUGGUGCAUGGCUGUCGUCAGCUCGUGUCGUGAGAUGUUGGGUUAAGUCCCGCAACGAGCGCAACCCUUGUCCUAUGUUGCCAGCGGGUUAUGCCGGGGACUCGUAGGAGACUGCCGGGGGUCAACUCGGAGGAAGGUGGGGAUGACGUCAAGUCAUCAUGCCCCUUAUGUCCAGGGCUUCACACAUGCUACAAUGGCCGGUACAAAGGGCUGCGAUGCCGUGAGGUGGAGCGAAUCCUUUCAAAGCCGGUCUCAGUUCGGAUCGGGGUCUGCAACUCGACCCCGUGAAGUCGGAGUCGCUAGUAAUCGCAGAUCAGCAACGCUGCGGUGAAUACGUUCCCGGGCCUUGUACACACCGCCCGUCACGUCAUGAAAGUCGGUAACACCCGAAGCCGG
rnacentral:rRNA from 1 species